CGAUUGGAUAUUGGGCAAUGGGCGCAAGCCUGAACCAACGAUCCCGCGUGCGAGAUGAAGGCCCUAUGGGUCGUAAACUGCUUUUAUGCACCAAGAAAAAACACUUCGUGUGGUGAACUGACGGUC
rnacentral:rRNA from 1 species